rfam:Schistosoma rodhaini strain Burundi genome assembly, scaffold: SROB_scaffold0001254
AUCCAGCUGAUGAGUCUCGGAUAGGACGAAACGCGCGUCCUGGAU